UCUAUCGCGAGGUGGAAUCUGAAGGAAGCCGAAGGCAAAACGCUGGCCUGACGAACAGGAAUCGCAUAAUAGGCUUAUAUGCCGGGUAAGGAGGCCAUCAUCUCUAAAGCCCGAUACUUAACCGGAAGGCAUAUAGGUAUAUGCGGCAGGUAUAAGCGUGAAGGUAAAUGCG
rfam:Mucilaginibacter paludis DSM 18603 chromosome, whole genome shotgun sequence.